ensembl:lncRNA novel transcript
GGGCAGCCUGCUGUGCGGAGCUGGGGGAGGAGGAGGGAGCCCUGGGGGACAGACAGAAGGACCAUCGAAGGAGAAACCCUGCUGGCCUCGGGACCUGGAGGAAAGAACCAGGGCCCGUGCUCCUUGGGCCAGGAUCCGGCGAUUGGACGGAACCUCUCGGAUUCCCCAGUGCUGUGAAAUCCACUUGGGGCCAUCACACCCUUCAUUGCUGUGCUCCCUGGCAGAACUCGAAUGCAGCGUGAGCUGGGCACUUUUCCCAGGGUUUGCUCUAGGUCUGGGUCUCCCAUCAGCUCCCCCGGAGCAGAGCCUGAGGCAAGGAUUCUUGUUCGGGGGCAUCUUCCUCUCAGCACCGUGCUUUGGGAAUCGAGUGAUGGUGCUGAGUGAACCCCUGAGUGAACAUCUGUGGCUUCCUCCCACCUCGUCUCUGGAUGCACUCCUGUUCGAAUGGGUGUCUGUACAUGCUUGUCCCCUCCCCACGGUGGCGUGCUCAAUGGUGGCUCCCCACAGAUAUGUCCGUGUCCUAAUUCCCGGAGCCUUUGGGUCUCAUGUAGCCAAUGAUGUGAAAAAGUGAAGGAUGCUGAGAGGAGAUCAUCCAGAUGUCUUAGAGGAUAAAAAUGAGCGGGCAGAUGAAGAGAUACUCAGGGUGAGGUUUGGAAGGUGCACCAGGCCCACCCCAUGGAUGUGGCUCAGAGAGCCUGGGAAACGUGAGGUCUGUGACCUGGAUCAGGCCCAGAGAGACCUGAGCAGGAGGCGUGUGAAGCCCCUGCGCCUGUGCGAGGAGGGAAGCUGUUUCAGGGAAUUUGCCUUUCUUUCCCUGUAGUUUCAGACUAGCUGAUAAAUUACCUAAAAUGUUACCACAAGAUGCACAAUGUAACCAUCACUCAUUAUCUUCAUGUUCCUGGAAUUUUUUUUUUUUUUUUGAGAUAGAGUGUAGCCUCAUGGCAGCCUCAACCUCCUGGGCUCAAGUUGUCAGAGGCGUGUGAACCAGAGCAACUCCAUCUUGAAUGGGGCUGCGUAAAAUGAAGCUGAGACCUGUGGGGCUGCAUUCCCAGACCGCUGUGGCAUUCUGAGUCACAGGGUGAGACAGGAGGUCAGCACAAGAUACAGGUCAUAAAGACCUUGCUGAUAAAACAGGUUGCAGCAAAGGAGCCGUCCAAAUCCCACCAAAACCAAGAUGGUGACAAGAGUGACCUCUGGCCGUCCUCACUGCCACACUCCCACCAGCCGUGACAGUUUACAGAUGCCAUGGCAACCUCAGGAAGUCACCAUAUAUGGUCUAAAAAGGGGAGGUAUGAAUAAUCCACCCCUUGUUUAGCAUAUCAUCAAGAAAUAACCACAAAAACGGAGAACCAGCAGUCCUCGGGGCUGCUUUGUCUAUGGAGUAGCCAUUCUUUUUUUUUUUUUCGAGAUGGAGUCUCGCUCUGUUGCCUGGGCUGGAGUGCGGUGGCAUGAUCUUGGCUCACUGCAACCUCUGCCUCCUGGGUUUAAGUGAUUCUCCUGCCUCAGCCGAGCUGAGUAGCUGGGCUUACAGGCACCCACCACCAUGCCCGGCUAAUUUUUUGUAUUUUUAGUAAAGCCAGGGUUUCAUUAUACUAGCCAGGCUGGUCUCGAACUCCUGACCUCAUGACCUGCCUGCCUCAGCUUCCCAAAGUACUGGGAUUACCGGUGUGAACCACCGUGCCCAGCCAGAGUAGCCAUUCUUUACUCCUUUACUUUCCUAAUAAACUUCCUUUCACUUUA